rnacentral:rRNA from 1 species
UACAGAGGGUGCAAGCGUUGUUCGGAAUCACUGGGCUUAAAGGGCGCGUAGGCGGGCCACCAAGUCCGCGGUGAAAUCCCCCGGCUCAACCGGGGAAGUGCCGCGGAUACUGGGGGCCUCGAGGGAGGUAGGGGCGUGCGGAACACUGGGUGGAGCGGUGAAAUGCGCAGAUAUCGGGAGGAACACCUAUGGCGAAGGCAGCUCGCUGGGACGUUACUGACGCUGAGACGCGAAAGCGUGGGGAGCAAACAGG